CAUCACCAUUUCUGUCUCCUGCUGCUUGUUGUUUCACCACGUGGCCAUCAUCACCAUGAGGCGGACAAAACCCAUUGCCAUCAGAGUCUGAGAAAACACGUUUGAAAGCAGCCCAGCUGUCUGGGACAAAGCACUGGGAAGUGGUUGUUGGGCUACCACUUAAAACACCUGAGAAGCCAGCUUGCCAUUCACUGUACCUGACGGAAGAUGUCAGGUCCUGCGGUGGGUCAGGAAGAAAGAAGUCAUCUAGAGAAGUAGCAGGGAGUUGAGUGUGUGGAGGUUUCUCCCAUUCGAGAGAUGCAGAAGAAAGAGGACUCCUCUUCUUUUCUGGAUGCUAUCAACCCAUCAGAGCCAGGGGUCUUACUGGCCUGAGAAGAUUUUGGGACUUGAACACCAGGUGCUGCUUUAACGGGCUGCCUCUGUUCAUUUUGCAACGGGGCACUACCUUGUUCUUGUAUGGACAGAGAUGCCACACUGAACUCCAUCUGACUCUGUUCAGGGUUAAAGAAAAACAGUAUUUCAAAUCCCUUCACAAAGACAGUUUUGGACGUCGGGUCUUCAUGUACCCAGCUACAUGAAACUGACCAUUUUUGAGUCUGAAGUGCAAGCGAACCUGAGUCCUAGACCUGCUGCAGAGGAAUCAAAGAAAUCAAUUGCAUUGGAGUUACUCAGUGCCAUUCGAGGCAUCAGUGUGCAGCACACACAGCACUAAAACACUGGAAGAGCUGCACCAAAGCAUUAGAACAGUUGUGAAUGCAUUUUGAAAGCCGCAGAUGUUUUGCAUGAAAAUAGAAAGCAAAAAGCUUUACAGGGUACUUUAAAAGGCAGUCUUCCAUUGUCGUCCAUUAGAGAAGUAGUUGGCAACACACUACAACUCCAGAAGGAUUAGAUGUAAUCAGCACAUUCAAAUCUGUGGGUUUUACAAGUCUAAUGCCUCUCUGAAGGCAUUCCCCUUCCUUCCUUUGAAGGAGGAGGAAACAAUCCAGCAGGACCAGUUUUUCCACUUAUUCCAGAGUCCUGUUGUAUUUUCACUUGCAGUGCAGGUAGCUGUACUUGCUUCUGAGAAGCAACACCAGAUCAAAGGGAAGCAAGUGGUCACAGUUACAGAACAAUACAGACCUUGGAAAAGAAAACACUGCUGCAAGACGUUCAUUUGAUUUACCACCGCUUCAGUAAUCUUGAUUGUCAACUAGGUGGACACUCUUUAGGCUAAUAAAACUUUAGUCACUCUGA